GCAGAUGAAGGAGGAAUUAGUCACACAGAGCUCAGCCAUGAGGAUAUAAGCCUGAAGAGCACACCCAUACCCUGAGGACAAGGAUGUUAACAAACAAUGGAAUUUACAGCAGCAAUUUACUCAGGAGAAAAGCUACAGGUGAAAAGGACUGAUACUCCAACAAGAGAGUGGGAAUUCUUCAUAGAUGUAAAUGCAAUACUUGUAAGUCAAUAUUUGCUCUUGCAAUACUGGCACAUGCAGCAAUGGUUUUCCAACAUGAAUAGGUUUCAGCCCAGCUGCUCCAGGAUCAGGCGUUUCAGAAGUACUCAGAUUCAGUUCUUAAACUUCAUUAAAAAUGUGGUUUUUAAAAGCC